rnacentral:rRNA from 1 species
CNGCNGUCGACGAUUCCUACGGGAGGCAGCAGUGGGGAAUCUUAGACAAUGGGCGCAAGCCUGAUCUAGCCAUGCCGCGUGAGUGAUGAAGGCCUUAGGGUCGUAAAGCUCUUUCGCCAGGGAUGAUAAUGACAGUACCUGGUAAAGAAACCCCGGCUAACUCCGUGCCAGCAGCCGCGGUAAUACGGAGGGGGUUAGCGUUGUUCGGAAUUACUGGGCGUAAAGCGUACGUAGGCGGAUCAGAAAGUUAGGGGUGAAAUCCCGGGGCUCAACCCCGGAACUGCCUCUAAAACUCCUGGUCUUGAGUUCGAGAGAGGUAAGUGGAAUUCCGAGUGUAGAGGUGAAAUUCGUAGAUAUUCGGAGGAACACCAGUGGCGAAGGCGGCUUACUGGCUCGAUACUGACGCUGAGGUACGAAAGUGUGGGGAGCAAACAGGAUUAGAUACCCUGGUAGUCCACACCGUAAACGAUGAAUGCCAGUCGUCGGCAAGCAUGCUUGUCGGUGACACACCUAACGGAUUAAGCAUUCCGCCUGGGGAGUACGGUCGCAAGAUUAAAACUCAAAGGAAUUGACGG